rnacentral:tRNA from 1 species
UCCCUGGUGGCUCAGUUGGUAAAGAAUCUGCCUGCAAAGCAGCAGACCCAGGUUCAAUCCCUGGGUGGGGAA